rnacentral:lncRNA from 1 species
AUUUGCCUUUGCAUUCAAGCAAAGAAGAUGCUUAUGAUGGAGUCACAUCUGAAAACAUGAGGAAUGGACUGGUUAAUAGUGAAGUCCAUAAUGAAGAUGGAAGAAAUGGAGAUGUCUCUCAGUUUCCAUAUGUGGAAUUUACAGGAAGAGAUAGUGUCACCUGCCCUACUUGUCAGGGAACAGGAAGAAUUCCUAGGGGGCAAGAAAACCAACUGGUGGCAUUGAUUCCAUAUAGUGAUCAGAGAUUAAGGCCAAGAAGAACAAAGCUGUAUGUGAUGGCUUCUGUGUUUGUCUGUCUACUCCUUUCUGGAUUGGCUGUGUUUUUCCUUUUCCCUCGCUCUAUCGACGUGAAAUACAUUGGUGUAAAAUCAGCCUAUGUCAGUUAUGAUGUUCAGAAGCGUACAAUUUAUUUAAAUAUCACAAACACACUAAAUAUAACAAACAAUAACUAUUACUCUGUCGAAGUUGAAAACAUCACUGCCCAAGUUCAAUUUUCAAAAACAGUUAUUGGAAAGGCACGCUUAAACAACAUAACCAUUAUUGGUCCACUUGAUAUGAAACAAAUUGAUUACACAGUACCUACCGUUAUAGCAGAGGAAAUGAGUUAUAUGUAUGAUUUCUGUACUCUGAUAUCCAUCAAAGUGCAUAACAUAGUACUCAUGAUGCAGUAAGUACAAAUCUUUUUUGAAAGAGAUAUUGCUUGUUAACAUUUUAGAUUUAUAACAUUGG